rnacentral:rRNA from 1 species
UACGUAGGGUGCAAGCGUUAAUCGGAAUUACUGGGCGUAAAGCGUGCGCAGGCGGCUUUGCAAGACAGAUGUGAAAUCCCCCGGGCUCAACCUGGGAACUGCAUUUGUGACUGCAUGGCUAGAGUGCGGCAGAGGGGGGAUGGAAUUCCGCGUGUAGCAGUGAAAUGCGUAGAUAUGCGGAGGAACACCGAUGGCGAAGGCAAUCCCCUGGGCCUGCACUGACGCUCAUGCACGAAAAGCGUGGGGGAGCAA